CGGGACGUUCUAACCUAAUCGGUUCGUCAAGUUGCACUUGUUGAUUGCACAGUGAUCCUACCAGCGUCUACCUUACCAAGGGUCGAGGAGAAUGGAUUUACUGGGAUGAUUUAAGUCAUGCAGUCACUUGUUUCCUUAAUUAAUAACUAGUUACAUCAUAGGUUCAGCAGAUUUUACUCAAUAUUAGUAAUGUCACCUCCUAAGUACUUACUAAUAGGGUCAACUAGCUUUUGGUAUCUUUCGUGUAGUUACUAACUAAUUACUUCCUAG
rnacentral:lncRNA from 1 species